UACAUUAUCGUGAAUCGAAUAAAGUUCGGGAUAAAAUUAUGAUGAUGACAUUAUUUAUCUUUGUGUCUUGACCAAAUUACGUGCCAGCAGUCGCGGUAAUACGUAGAAGACUAGUGUUAUUCAUCUUUAAUAGGUUUAAAGCGUACCUAGACGGUUGAUAUAACCUAAACAAGGUAUUAUAUCUGACUAGAGUUAUUUAUGUAAUGGCGCUAUAAGGUACUGUUGAGUGUAGAGAUGAAAUGCUAUUAUACCAGAUGAGUGGCACAGAUUGAGGCGAAAGCAUCGUUUUAUGUAAUAACUGACGUUGACGGACGAAGGCUAAAAUACCGAACAGGAUUAGGUACCCUAGUAGUUUAGCAGAAAAUUAUGAAUGUCAUAGGUUAGAUAACAUUUAGUCUAUAAAUGAAAGUGUAAGCAUUCCACCUCAAGAGUAAUAUGGCAACAUAGAAAUUGAAAUCAUUAGACCGUUUCUGAAACCAGUAGUGAAGUAUGUUGUUUAAUUUGAUGAUCCGCAAAAAACCUUACCACAACUUGAAUAAUAAUUUUUACAAGCGUUGCACGGCUGUCUUCAGUUAAUGUCGUGAGAUUUUGGUUAGUUCCAUAAAAUUAACGUAAACCCUUACUUUAUUUUAAAAUAAAGUAGUUCCCCGCUAUAUUGGAUAUGAUAACAGGGACUAAGACAAGUCAUCAUGGCCUUAAUGUUGUGGC
rnacentral:rRNA from 1 species